rnacentral:rRNA from 1 species
GAUGAACGCUGGCGGUAUGCUUAACACAUGCAAGUCGAACGGAGUUCCUUCGGGGACUUAGUGGCGGACGGGUGAGUAACACGUGAGAACCUACCCUUAGGAUGGGGACAACAGUUGGAAACGACUGCUAAUACCCAAUGUGCCGGAAGGUGAAAGAUUUAUCGCCUAGGGAAGGGCUCGCGGCUGAUUAGCUAGUUGGUAAGGUAAAGGCUUACCAAGGCGACGAUCAGUAGCUGGUCUGAGAGGAUGAGCAGCCACACUGGGACUGAGACACGGCCCAGACUCCUACGGGAGGCAGCAGUGGGGAAUUUUCCGCAAUGGGCGAAAGCCUGACGGAGCAAUACCGCGUGUGGGAGGAAGGCUCUUGGGUUGUAAACCACUUUUCUCAGGGAAGAAUAGAUGACGGUACCUGAGGAAUAAGCAUCGGCUAACUCCGUGCCAGCAGCCGCGGUAAUACGGAGGAUGCAAGCGUUAUCCGGAAUCAUUGGGCGUAAAGCGUCCGCAGGUGGCCUAUCAAGUCUGCUGUCAAAGCGCAGAGCUCAACUCUGUAAAGGCAGUGGAAACUGAUAAGCUAGAGUUCGGUAGGGGUAGCGGGAAUUCCCAGUGUAGCGGUGAAAUGCGUAGAUAUUGGGAAGAACAUCGGUGGCGAAGGCGCGCUACUGGGCCGAAACUGACACUGAGGGACGAAAGCUAGGGGAGCGAAAGGGAUUAGAUACCCCUGUAGUCCUAGCCGUAAACGAUGGAAACUAGGCGUGGCUUG